GAUGAACGCUGGCGGCGUGCCUAAUACAUGCAAGUCGAGCGAACGCACGAGAAGCUUUCUCCUCUGAUUUUGUCGGCGGUCGGGAGCGUAACUCGUGUUUAACCUACCUAUCAGACUGGGGUAACCUCGCGAGACCGGAUCUACUACCCGAUGAUAUUUUGCACUUCAUUGUUCACACGUUAAAUACGCUCUUUCUGUCGCUAAUAGAUUGACCCGCGCUGCAUUAGCUAGUUGGUAAGGUAACGGCUUAACAAGGCAACGAUGCAUAGCCGACCUGAGAGGGAGAUCGGCCACACUGGAACUGAGACAGGGCAGAGACACCUACAGGAGGAAGCAGUAGGGAAUCUUACGCGAUGGAGGAGAGCGUGACGGAGCAACGCCGCGGGAGUGAUGAAGGUGUUCGGAUCGGAAAACUCUGUUAUUAGGGAAGAAGAUAUGUGCAAGUAACUGUGAAGAUAAUGACGGUACCGAAACAGAAAGCGACGGCUAACUACGUG
rnacentral:rRNA from 1 species